ensembl:lncRNA
GGAAGAGACAGCUGUGGCUGCCAAACCUGUGGACGAUGACAGGAAUGCGUCGUUUACAGACCACCUACUGCAAACACCCAAUCCUGUCUGCAGGCACAACAAAGCCUCUCAGACACACCGGCCAGUAACACGACGAGAGCAGAGGAAGGAAUCUACGUGACCUCUCUACACUCCUAUUUAUCCAACAAACCCCUUGCUGUGAUCAGUGAGCGCGUCCUCUGGGACGCCAGCGACAACAGAGCAGGAAGGCUCUGUGUAUCACCCAACGUGACCUGACGGCUGUGCAUGGCGGAGGAAACGCUGUGCAAGACUAGACAGGAGUCAAAAGAAAAGGGAUUAGAGUGUGGACGCUGCCAGUGUGGGAGGAAUCAUGCAACGAGGGAAGGUCAGGCGAGGCCUCGACAGGUCCGUUAUCUGUCCGGGUGUAUCUUCAAUGUAAACGGAUUCCACAGGGGAUUUAUUCACACCUGUCUGACAUAGAACAUAUAGGAUGGAAGGCACUGAAUAAGGAAUAAAGCAUGAAACACAUAAAACGCAUUAAAUUCUCUGAAGGCGCUGAAAGGAGUCAAAAGUACCAAGCCAAAGUCAAUGCGAUGCUGCCAACGGCUGCCAACGUGGAAUGUGACCUUUUCGAUGUCUGGACCAAACAUUCGCUCUCAGCGGUGGAAUAAGGUCGUCCUUCAAUUAGAGAGUCGGCGGUUCGAUCCCUGGUUUCGGCACUUUGCACCCAAAUUGCUCCCCCAGCUGUGCCUACGAUGUGUGAAUGCUGCAUGAAUUUUAGAGAGUCCUGACGGACGCCUCAAGGCCGAGCAACCUCCCAAUAACCUUUUUCUUUUAUUAUUCAGCCGCCCACCACCAUCACCACCACCAGCUCCACCACACAAACACACGCACAAAGCAGAAAACACAAAGUCUCCAUUUCCCUCUGGUCGUUUCUCAGCCUUUGAAUUACACACACCGACUAAUUGACCAACAGCUUGGUGCAGAAUCUCUCCCCAGAGAGGGAGCAGCGAGCAGGAGAGAGGAGGCUGGUUAGGCACAAUCACAAUGGGAGCGGAC